GGCGGCGUAGCUCAGUCGGUAGAGCAAAGGAUCCAUAAUCCUUUGGUCACAGGUUCGAGUCCUGUCGCCGCUACCA
rnacentral:tRNA from 3 species